AAUGAAGUAUUUUAUGCUCUCUUAAGGGACUCACUUGUAUUGUGCAUUAUAUUUGUUAUAAUGCUUACAGAUAGAGAAAUGUCAGAUGCUGUCUCGUGGCCAAACAACCUUGCUUGGAGCCUCUACUGGACCAGCACAAAGGGUGGUGGAAGAACCUCAUGAUGCUGAAACAGCAAAGAAGGCCAUGGAGCAGAGUCAGCCUGACCCCCAGCCUCAUCCCAUGCCCCUGCCCCGGCCCCAGCCUACUGCACCUGUGGAAGCAAGAGCUGCAACACAAUUUUCAAUGGUAAGAAUUACUAUUUAACUUUUUUAAUAAUACCACUUAAGAAUGUGCUCAAUUAAAAUUCAAGAAAGUUCAGAACGUAAGAUGAAGAAAAAAAGAAAAAGCAAGAAUGCUAUGAGAUGCUGGCUGAGACCUACUAAUUGUCACCCCUCUUGUACAGUGGGGGCACCUGUUGUCUGCUGAAUGGUCAGUUUGAAUAUCUCAGAUUUGGUUUAAGUCACAUGGUCAAGGAUAAAUGUAGAAUGUAACCUGUUUGCUUUCUCUCUUGAGACUAGACUCAUGUCCCUCAUGGCAUCCCUCUCAAUACUUCUCAUGUGUUAAAGCUACAUUAUCUUUCUUUCUCAAUCUCAGGUAACAUACCACAUAGACGCUGGCUAUUAUUAACUGUACACAUUAACAAUUAUUCCAUCAUGCAAAUACUUUGUAGUAAUUUCAGGAGUCAAUACUGCUAAUAAAUAUGGAUGACACUUCUAUUCAGAAAGAAAUGUUUUUAAAAACCUGCAUUUACUUAAAAUAGUAAUAUUAAUAUAAAUCGUAAUUCUUGCUAUUAUAACACAUUCUGUCUUCUCACAUUUUUGAUUUACCAAACCAAGAUUUACUGGCUCUCACAUUGCUGCAGCAAAGCCAAAUCUUAGUGUGGUCAGGAGACCUUCUCAGGUUGAAGACCAACCCAGCGCAGCAGUGUCUUGUGCCUCUAUACCAAGCAGUACUGUCUCUGGUGUGCCAGUGUUCCAGGGUCUACAAAUGGUUCAAAGACUGUCAGCGGUCCAUAGGAUGCCACUGUUACAGCCUAUUUUGCAGAGCACCAAUUCACAACCAGCUCCACAAACCAUGCCCAAGAGACCCUACAAGGCAAA